rnacentral:misc_RNA from 1 species
GAUGAAGAACGUAGCGAAAUGCGAUAAGUAAUGUGAAUUGCAGAAUUCCGUGAAUCAUCGAAUCUUUGAACGCACAUUGCGCCCUCUGGUAUUCCGGGGGGCAUGCCUGUCCGAGCGUCAUUUGCAACCCUCAAGCCCGGCUUGUGUGAUGGGUGCCGUCCCCUACGGGACGCGCCCCGAAGGCAAUGGCGGCGUCGCGGUUAUCCGAUCAGCCAAAGUGUAUGGGGCUUUGUCACUCACUUUACGGCCCGGACCGGCGCCAGUCCGAAUCAAUCUUUUUUCUAAAGUUGACCUCGGAUCAGGUAGGGAUACCCGCUGAACUUAAGCAUAUCAAUAAGCGGAGGGA